GCGAGCGCCGCCACCGCCCUUCCCCCACCCCAGGUCCGGGGCGCGGCUCAAGCUGCGGGACGCCGGGAGGCGCUGUCAGCUAACGGGCCCGUCCCACUGUCUCCUCGGAGGAGAAGCGGGUCCUGCGGGCCGCAGAGGACUGAGGACGAAGUCCGCCAGACUGAGCGCAGAGGCCGUCUCACGCUCUUGCUGUGGAACCACUUCUACACCACAGAUUUUCCCCCAGGACCUUGAGGGAGCGGGCGACGCCCCCCUACGCGUUCCCGUCGUCAUCCUAGAGUGAGGACGUCCCUCUUGGAGUUUGUUGGACUGGUAAAUUCAGGUCCCUGCUAACGCAGAAUGCGAACAGAGUUGAAGGACCACAACGCUCCGGCUAGUGCGGUGACAAAAAAUUCAAGAGCUUCGAAGAAGGAACCAGCCCUGCUGACAUUUUGACUUUAGCCCAGCGAGACAGAUUUUGAACGUCUAACUGUCAACACUGAAGUCUAAAAUCUGUGAUGGACACAAAAGAAUGGUAAG